GAUGAACGCUGGCGGCGUGCUUAACACAUGCAAGUCGAACGGUGAACACGGAGCUUGCUCUGUGGGAUCAGUGGCGAACGGGUGAGUAACACGUGAGCAACCUGCCCCUGACUCUGGGAUAAGCGCUGGAAACGGCGUCUAAUACUGGAUAUGUGACGUGACCGCAUGGUCUGCGUUUGGAAAGAUUUUUCGGUUGGGGAUGGGCUCGCGGCCUAUCAGCUUGUUGUUGAGGUAAUGGCUCACCAAGGCGUCGACGGGUAGCCGGCCUGAGAGGGUGACCGGCCACACUGGGACUGAGACACGGCCCAGACUCCUACGGGAGGCAGCAGUGGGGAAUAUUGCACAAUGGGCGCAAGCCUGAUGCAGCAACGCCGCGUGAGGGAUGACGGCCUUCGGGUUGUAAACCUCUUUUAGCAGGGAAGAAGCGAAAGUGACGGUACCUGCAGAAAAAGCGCCGGCUAACUACGUG
rnacentral:rRNA from 1 species